rnacentral:rRNA from 1 species
AUUGAACGCUGGCGGCAGGCCUAACACAUGCAAGUCGAGCGAGCGGCGGACGGGUGAGUAAUGUAUGGGGAUCUGCCCGAUAGAGGGGGAUCACUACUGGAAACGGUCGCUAAUACCGCAUACUAUCGGAUGACCCCAUAUGGGAGUAGCUAGUAGGUGGGGUAACGGCUCACCUAGGCGACGAUCUCUAGCUGGUCUGAGAGGAUGAUCAGCCACACUGGGACUGAGACACGGCCCAGACUCCUACGGGAGGCAGCAGUGGGGAAUAUUGUACAAUGGGCGCAAGCCUGAUGCAGCCAUGCCGCGUGGAUGAAGAAGGCCUUAGGGUUGUAAAGUACUUUCAGCGGGGAGGCGUUACCCGCAGAAGAAGCACCGGCUAACUCCGUGCCAGCCGCCGCGGUAAUUC